GACGAACGCUGGCGGCGUGCCUAACACAUGCAAGUCGAGCGAGCAGAUUUCCUUCGGGAAUGAAGCUAGCGGCGGACGGGUGAGUAACGUGUAAAGAACUUGCCCUCUAGACUGGGAUAACAGAUAGAAAUGUCUGAUAAUACCGGAUAUUAUUGUUACAUGGCAUCAUGUAGGAAUGAAAGGAUAAGAUUGCUAGAGGAGAGCUUUGCAUCCUAUUAGCUAGUUGGUAAGGUAGUGGCUUACCAAGGCGAUGAUAGGUAGCCGGCCUGAGAGGGUGGACGGCCACAAGGGGACUGAGAUACGGCCCUU
rnacentral:rRNA from 1 species